UAGUUGGAGCACAUUCUGAGAGG
rnacentral:misc_RNA from 1 species